UGGGCGGCGUGCUAUACAUGCAGUCGAGCGGACAGAAGGGAGCUUGCUCCCGGAUGUUAGCGGCGGACGGGUGAGUAACACGUGGGUAACCUGCCUGUAAGACUGGGAUAACUCCGGGAAACCGGAGCUAAUACCGGAUAGUUCCUUGAACCGCAUGGUUCAAGGAUGAAAGACGGUUUCGGCUGUCACUUACAGAUGGACCCGCGGCGCAUUAGCUAGUUGGUGGGGUAAUGGCUCACCAAGGCGACGAUGCGUAGCCGACCUGAGAGGGUGAUCGGCCACACUGGGACUGAGACACGGCCCAGACUCCUACGGGAGGCAGCAGUAGGGAAUCUUCCGCAAUGGACGAAAGUCUGACGGAGCAACGCCGCGUGAGUGAUGAAGGUUUUCGGAUCGUAAAGCUCUGUUGUUAGGGAAGAACAAGUGCAAGAGUAACUGCUCGCACCUUGACGGUACCUAACCAGAAAGCCACGGCUAACUACGUGCCAGCAGCCGCGGUAAUACGUAGGUGGCAAGCGUUGUCCGGAAUUAUUGGGCGUAAAGGGCUCGCAGGCGGUUUCUUAAGUCUGAUGUGAAAGCCCCCGGCUCAACCGGGGAGGGUCAUUGGAAACUGGGAAACUUGAGUGCAGAAGAGGAGAGUGGAAUUCCACGUGUAGCGGUGAAAUGCGUAGAGAUGUGGAGGAACACCAGUGGCGAAGGCGACUCUCUGGUCUGUAACUGACGCUGAGGAGCGAAAGCGUGGGGAGCGAACAGGAUUAGAUACCCUGGUAGUCCACGCCGUAAACGAUGAGUGCUAAGUGUUAGGGGGUUUCCGCCCCUUAGUGCUGCAGCUAACGCAUUAAGCACUCCGCCUGGGGAGUACGGUCGCAAGACUGAAACUCAAAGGAAUUGACGGGGGCCCGCACAAGCGGUGGAGCAUGUGGUUUAAUUCGAAGCAACGCGAAGAACCUUACCAGGUCUUGACAUCCUCUGACAACCCUAGAGAUAGGGCUUUCCCUUCGGGGACAGAGUGACAGGUGGUGCAUGGUUGUCGUCAGCUCGUGUCGUGAGAUGUUGGGUUAAGUCCCGCAACGAG
rnacentral:rRNA from 1 species